rnacentral:rRNA from 1 species
UACAGAGGGUGCAAGCGUUAAUCGGAAUUACUGGGCGUAAAGCGCACGUAGGUGGAUAUUUAAGUCGGAUGUGAAAGCCCUGGGCUCAACCUGGGAAUUGCAUUCGAUACUGGAUAUCUUGAGUAUGGUAGAGGAAAGUAGAAUUCCCGGUGUAGCGGUGAAAUGCGUAGAUAUCGGGAGGAAUACCAGUGGCGAAGGCGGCUUUCUGGGCCAAUACUGACACUGAGGUGCGAAAGCGUGGGGAGCAAACAGG